CGCGUAGGCGGUUUGCUAAGUUGAAUGUGAAAACUCUGGGCUUAACCCAGAGCCUGCAUUCAAUACUGGCAGGCUAGAGUUCUGGAGGGGAUAGCGGAAUUCCUGGUGUAGCGGUGAAAUGCGUAGAUAUCAGGAGGAACACCGGUGGCGAAGGCGGCUAUCUGGACAGAGUCUGACGCUGAGGCGCGAAAGGCUAGGGAGCAAACA
rnacentral:rRNA from 1 species